GCAGAUGUGGCGGAAUUGGCAGACGCGCAGGACUUAGAAUCCUGUGAGUAAUCGUGCAGGUUCAAGUCCUGUCAUCUGCACCA
rnacentral:tRNA from 1 species